GCCCCUGGGCUACUCAGGCAGGACUCGCCCUUGGUGAAGCUGUGCUGUCCUGAAUCACCUUCCCAUUGUGCAUGUGCCUUAGCUUCUAGGUGAAUCUGUUCCAUGAUCUUCCCAGGCACAGAGGUGAGGCUGAGAGCUUGACAGAUUUGUGCUGCCAUCUUUGUGCCAUAUUGCACACCAGACAUCAGGAUAAAACCUGCAGUGAUGAUGCUGUGGAAUCUAAUUGGUUUUUAGGAACAGAAGCCAUGAUGUUUGGGCCAGCCAAUAUCUAAAAUGGAAGUCCGGAAGCAGUUCUGUCUGAUGCUGCAAAAACAGAUCUGCAAGUGUGAAAUCAGUAGACUGUAAGGACUGUC